rnacentral:rRNA from 1 species
AAAACGACUCUCGGCAACGGAUAUCUCGGCUCUCGCAUCGAUGAAGAACGUAGCGAAAUGCGAUACUUGGUGUGAAUUGCAGAAUCCCGUGAACCAUCGAGUUUUUGAACGCAAGCUGCGCCCAAAACCUUCGGGUCGAGGGCACGUCUGCCUGGGUGUCACGC